GACCUGAACUCAGUCGAGAGCACCCGCUGAACUUAAGCAUAUCAGUAAGCGAGACGCACAAAGUGGGCUACCCAAAAUG
rnacentral:rRNA from 1 species